rnacentral:lncRNA from 1 species
GUUGGUUGGUUGGUUGGUUGGUUGGUUGGUUGGUUGGUUAAACACGUUGGAUAGGGUCAAUUGAAACACGGAAAAGAAAACAAAGAAGAUCUUGGACCCUAUAUUAAACACAUGAGACGGAAACAUGAUUGAUUGAUCAUGAUCAUGGAUUGAUUGAUUAGUUGAUUGAUUGAUUUAAUUGAUUGUUGGUUGGUUGGUUGGUUGGUUAAACACGUUGGUAGGGUAAAUUGAAACACGGAAAAAGAAACAAAGAAGAUCUUGGACCCUAUAUUAAACACAUGAGACGGAAACAUGAUUGAUUGAUCAUGAUCAUGAUUGAUUGAUUGAUUGAUUGAUUGAUUGAUUGAUUGAUUAGUUGGUUGGUUGGUUGGUUGGUUGGUUAAACACAUUGGAUAGGGUCAAUUGAAACACGGAAAAAGACACAAAGAAGAUCUUGGACCCUAUAUUAAACACAUGAGACGGAAACAUGAUUGGUUGAUCAUGAUCAUGAUUGAUUGAUUGAUUGGUUGGUUGGUUUGUUGGUUGGUUGGUUGGUUGGUUGGUUGGACCCUAUAAGAAACACAUGAGACGGAAACAUGAUUGAUUGAUUGAUCAUGAUCAUGAUAUUUUGAUUGAUUGAUUUGAUUGAUUGAUUGAUUGAUUGAUUGAUUGGUUGGUGUUGGUGUUGGUUGGUUGGUUGAAAUUCAAACACACAUAAAACUGUUUAAAUAGUGCCAAAACCACAUAAUUUGAUGACCUUGACCUUUGACCUUGUAACCUUCGUCAAGGUCAUUGCUCCACAAGGUAUUGCAAAAGACCCUAUGGGUCAAGGACCUUUUGUUUAAGAGUUUUGCCUAAAAAUGGCUUUUUAAAAACCAUCGAUGGGAGUUAUGUCCCUUACAUGAUGGUAAAAUCAAUAUAGUCAUAAUGUAAAAAAGUUGCCCCUUGAAGUACUUAAGCAUUUUUCACUGCUUAAUUUUUUGUAUCUAUAACCAUUCAAGAAUUAUAGGGAAAUCAAAGACAUAUGAAAAUCUAAAAUAUGACCUUGACCUUUGACCUUGACCUAAUUUUCUAAGUUAGGAAUCAGGGGACUCAAAUAAAACAUUCUAGGGUUAUACGGUUAACGGUUUAUGAGUUAAAAAAACAUACGACAAAUUUAUUCCGUAAAAGAUAGAUAACUCCUAUAAAAUUUCUUUCGAAUCGCUUCGAUCCAAAUUAGCCAAAAUUUCUGAGGAUGUAACGAACAAUUUUGUAAAAGAAUUUUGUCGCUAUCUUUUUUUUUACGAAGGAGAUGCACACACAUUGAAAACAGUGAUAGGGAGAUAACUCUUACAGAAAAUUGUUUAGCAGGGUAAAUUUAAAAGCGCAUAAACUAUACGAUACAUAUACAAAAUAUCUAAGCGACAUAUUGCGAAACAAAUGUUUAUCGCAAGAACAAAAUUGGCGGAAAAAAAAAAAAAAUAAUAAAAUAAAAACAAAUACAUAAGUCUUUCCACAGAAAAGUGGAAAGUGACCUUGACCUUUGACCUUGUAACCUUCGUCAAGGUCAUUGCUCCACAAGGUCAUUGCAAAAGACCCUAUGGGUCAAGGACCUUUUGUUUAAGAGUUUUGCCUAAAUAUGGCUUUUUAAAAACCAUCGAUGGGAGUUAUGUCCCUUACAUGAUGGUAAAAUCAAUAUAGUCAUAAAUGUAAAAAAGUUGCUGCCCUUGAAGUACUUACAUUUUUCACUGCUUAAAUUUUCUGUAUCUAUAACCAUUCAAGAAUUAUAGGGAAUCAAAGACAUAUGAAAAUCUAAAAUAUGACCUUGACCUUUGACCUUGACCUAAUUUUCUAAGUUAGGAAUCAGGGGACUCAAAUAAAAACUUCUAGGGUUAUACGGUUAACGUUUAUGAGUUAAAAAAAACAUACGACAAAUUAUUCCGUAAAGAUAGAUAACUCCUAUAAAAUUUCAUCAGAUCGCUUCGAUCCAAAUUAGCCAAAAUUUUCUGAGGAUGUAACGAACAAAUUUGUAAAAAGAAUUUUGUCGCUAUCUUUUUUUGUUACGAAGGAGAUGCACACACAUGAUAAACAGUGAAUAGGGAGAUACUCUUACAGAGAAAAUUGUUCGUCUUAGCAGGGUGAAAUUUAAAAGCGCAUAAACUAUACGAUACAAUAUGAGAAAUAUCUAAGCGACAUAUUGCCGAAACAAACAUUUAUCGCAAGAACAAAAGUUGGCGGAAAAAAAAAAAAAAUAAUAAUAAUAAUAAUAAUCAGACAAAUACAAUAAGUCUUCUCACAGAAAAGUGGAAGACUUAAUAAUAAUAAAUAUAAAGCAAUUGUUUUGAAAACAAUUGUUAGGCAGUCUUUCCCCUCUGAGAAUGGAUAAUUUGAUUUUUUUUUUAUGAUUGAUUUGGAAAAAAGGGGGGGGGGGUAUUUGUUUUUUUUUGUUUGUUUGUUUGCUUUGGUAUGGGGUCUAUAUUAUUAUUUUACCGGAGAAGUGUCAUGUUUAGUUUGGAAAGUUUUUCUUUUAUUUAGAUACAGCGCGCGCGCAAGAUUGAGGGAGAUCACGUGACGCGGGUUUAUAUAUAAGAAAAACUUAGUCUUUUUAUUUCUCUUUAGGUCGGGACGUUAAACAGACAACAUCUAUAGAGAUGGAAUGUACACAAUGUAAUUUCUUUUGUCAUUGUAGGAAAUUGACAUUUUCAUCACAGUUCACGGGCGUGCAUGUUUUGGAUUUAAUUUGAUCCGGUGUAACUUAAAACACAUUUAUUGAUUAUUUUCUGAUAAUGUACAUUUUUCAGCACCGUGUUUGUAACACAGAUUAAUAUUUCAAUCUCGGAGCGACAUUUAUUGUAGGUUUUUACUGAGAUUUUCGGACCUAGCAAGCGAUUUUUACAGCAUUGCAUUUCUUUUCCCUAGGAAAAGUCUUGAGAGAUAUCGCACCACGUUGUUUUAUGAACCUUUAGUACAUGUAUGCCCUGCUGACUGCAAAUUUUGAGGUCGAUUGUACUUGUAGUUUCAGAGAACAUGUGGAUUUUUUUUUCAGAAGUGACGUAAGAACAAUAUUAAAUUUCAAUUUUUCUUGAAUAAAUGAGAGUUUGCUCCUUCAAUAAACUCAUGGAUAAACAGUCAUACAGAUUGAUUGAUGAUUGAUUGAUUGAUUGAUUAGUUUGGUUGGUUGGUUGGUUGGUUAAACACGUUGGAUAGGGUCAAUUGAAACACGGAAAAAGACACAAAGAAGAUCUUGGACCCUAUAUUAAACACAUGAGACGGAACAUGAUUGGUUGAUCAUGAUCAUGAUUGAUUGAUUGAUUGAUUGAUUGAUUGAUUGAUUGGUUGGUUGGUUGGUUGGUUGGUUGGUUGGUUAAACACGUUGGAUAGGGUCAAUUGAAACAGCGAAAAAGAAACAAAGAAGAUCUUGGACCCUACAUUAAACACAUGAGACGGAAAGAUGAUUGAUUGAUCAUGAUCAUGAUUGUGAUUGAUUGAUGAUUGAUUGAUUGAUUGAUUGAUUAGUGUGUUGGUUGGUUGGUUGGUUGGUUAAACACGUUGGUUAGGGUCAAUUGAAACAGCGAAAAAGAAACGAAGAAGAUCUUGAACCCUAUAAUAAACACAUGAGACGGAAACAUGAUUGAUUGAUUGAUCAUGAUCAUUAUUGGUUGAUUGAUCAUGAUCAUGAUUGAUUGAUUGGUUGGUUGGUUGGUUGGUUGGUUAAACACGUUGGAUAGGGUCACUUGAAACACGGAAAAAAAAAACAAAGAAGAUCUUGGACCCUAUAUUAAACACAUGAGACGGAAACAUGAUUGAUUGAUCAUGAUCAUGAUUGAUUGAUUGAUUGAUUAGUUUGUUGGUUGGUGUUGGUUGGUUGGUUGGUUAAAAACCGUUGGAUAGGGUCAAUUGAAACACGGAAAAAGACACAAAGAAGAUCUUGGACCCUUUAUUAAACACAUGAGACGGAAACAUUGAUUGGUUGAUCAUGAUCAUGAGUAUAUUGAUUGAUGAUUGAUUGAUUGAUGAUGAUUGUUGUUGGUUGGUUGGUUGGUUGUUGUUGGUUGGUUGGUUGAACCCUAUAAGAAACACAUGAGACUGAAAAUGAUUGAUUGAUUGAUCGAUCAUGAUCAUGAUUGAUUGAUUGAUUCAUUGGUUGGUUGGUGGUUGGUUGGUUGGUGGUUUUGUUGUUGAAAUUCAAACACACAUAAAACUGUUUAAAUAGUGCCAAAAACCACAUAAUUUGAUGACCUUGACCUUUGACCUUGUAACCUUCGUCAAGGUCAUUGCUCCACAAGGUCAUUGCAAAAGACCCUAUGGGUCAAGGACCUUUUGUUUAAGAGUUUUGCCUAAAUAUGGCUUUUAAAACCAUCGAUGGGAGUUAUGUCCCUUACAUGAUGGUAAAAUCAAUAUAGUCAUAAUGUAAAAAAGUUGCCCCUUGAAGUACUUAACAUUUUUCACUGCUUAAAUUUUCUGUAUCUAUAACCAUUCAAGAAUUAUAGGGAAAACAAAGACAUAUGAAAAUCUAAAAUAUGACCUUGACUUGUGACCUUGACCUAAUUUUCUAAGUUAGGAAUCAGGGGACUCAAAUAAAAACAUUCUAGGGUUAUACGGUUAACGGUUUAUGAGUUAAAAAAAACAUACGACAAAUUUAUUCCGUAAAGAUAGAUAACUCCUAUAAAAUUUCAUCGAUCGCUUCGAUCCAAAUACGCAAAAUUUUCUGAGGAUGUAACGAACAAUUUGUAAAAAGCAUUUGUCGCUAUCUUUUUUGUUUACGAAGGAGAUGCACACACAUGAUAAACAGUGAAUAGGAGAUAACUCUACAAGAAAAUUGUUCGUCUUAGCAGGGUGAAUUUAUAAAGCGCAUAAACUAUUACGAUACAUAUGAGAAAUUAUCUAAGCGACAUAUUGCGACAACAACAUUUAUCGCAAGAACAAAGUUGGCGGAAAAAAAAAAAAUUAAUAAUAUAAUAAUUAAUCAGAACAAAUACAAUAAGUCUUUCCACAGAAAAUGGAAAGAUUUAAUAAUUAAAAUAAAAGCAAUGUUUUUGAAAAACAAUGUUAGCAGUCUUUUCCCCUCUGUAUGAAGGCAUAAUUGAUUUUUGCUUUUAAUUGAUUGAUUUGAGAAAAAAGGGGGGGGGGGUCAUUUGAGUUUUUUUGUUUGUUUGUUUGUUUGUUUCUGUAUGGGGUCUAUAUUAUUGUUACCGGAGAAGUUUCAUGUUUAGUUUGGAAAGUUUUUAUUUUAUUUUAGGUACAGCGCGCGCGCCAGAUUUAGGAGACAUCACGUGACUUGGGUUUAUAAUAACGAAAACUUAGUAUUUUUAUUUCUCUUUAGGUCGGGAUGUUGAACAGACAACAUGUAUAGAGACGGAAUGUACACAAUGUAAUUUCUUUUGUCAUUGUAGGAAAUUGACAUUUUCAUCACAGUUCACGGGCCGUGCAUGUUUUGGAUUUAAUUGAUCCGGUGUAACUUUAAAACACAUUUAUUGAUUAUUUUCUGAUAAUGUACAUUUUUCAGCACCUGUUUGUAACACAGAUUAGUAUUUCAAUCUCGGAGCGGACAUUUUAUUGUAGGUUUUUACUGAGAUUUACGGACCUAGCAAGCGAUUUUUACGGCAUUGCCAUUUCUUUUCUCUAGGAAAAGCUCUUGAGAGAUAUCUGCACCAAGUUUUUUUAUAAACCUUUAGUACAUGUAUGCCCUGCUGACUGCAAAUUUUGAGGUCGAUUGUACUUGUAGUUUCAGAGAACAUGUGGAUUUUUUUUUCAGAAGUGACGUAAGAACAAUAUUAAAUUUCAAUUUUUCUUGAAUAAUUGAGAGUUUGUUCCUUCAAUAAACUGUCAUGAAUAAACAGUCAUACAGAUUGAUUGAUUGAUUGAUUGAUUGAUUGAUUGAUUGAUUAGUUGGAUGGUUGGUUGGUUGGUUGGUUAAACACGUUGGGUAGGGUCAAUUGAAACACGGAAAAAGACACAAAGAAGAUCUUGGACCCUAUAUUAAACACAUGAGACGGAAACAUGAUUGAUUGAUCAUGAUCAUGAUUGAUUGAUUGAUUGAUUGAUUGAUUGAUUGAUUAGUUGGUUGGUUGGUUGGUUGGUUGGUUGGUUAAACACGUUGGAUAGGGUCAAUUGAAACAGCGAAAAAGAAACAAAGAAGAUCUUGGACCCUAUAUUAAACACAUGAGACGGAAACAUGAUUGAUUGAUCAUGAUCAUGAUUGAUUGAUUGAUUGAUUGAUUGAUUGAUUGAUUGAUUGAUUAGUUGGUUGGUUGGUUGGUUGGUUGGUUGGUUAAACACGUUGGUUAGGGUCAAUUGAAACACGGAAAAAGAAACAAAGAAGAUCUUGGACCCUAUAUUAAACACAUGAGACGGAAACAUGAUUGAUUGAUUGAUCAUGAUCAUUAUUGGUUGAUUGAUCAUGAUGAUGAUUGAUUGAUUGGUUGGUUGGUUGGUUGGUUGGUUGGUUAAACACGUUGGUUAGGGUCAAUUGAAACAGCGAAAAAGAAACAAAGAAUAUCUUGAACCCUAUAAUAAACACAUGAGACGGAAACAUGAUUGAUUGAUUGAUCAUGAUCAUGAUCAUUAUUGGUUGAUUGAUCAUGAUCAUGAUUGAUUGAUUGAUUGAUUGGUUGGUUGGUUGGUUGGUUGGUUGGUUGGUUAAACACGUUGGAUAGGGUCAAUUGAAACACGGAAAAAGACACAAAGAAGAUCUUGGACCCUAUAUUAAACACAUGAGACGGAAACAUGAUUGGUUGAUCAUGAUCAUGAUUGAUUGAUUGAUUGAUUGAUUGAUUGAUUGAUUGAUUGAUUGGUUGGUUGGUUGGUUGGUUGGUUGGUUGGUUGAACCCUAUAAGAAACACAUGAGACUGAAACAUGAUUGAUUGAUUGAUCGAUCAUGAUCAUGAUUGAUUGAUUGAUUGAUUGAUUGAUUGGUUGGUUGGUUGGUUGGUUGGUUGGUUGGUUGGUUGGUUGAAAUUCAAACACACAUAAAACUGUUUAAAUAGUGCCAAAACCACAUAAUUUGAUGACCUUGACCUUUGACCUUGUAACCUUCGUCAAGGUCAUUGCUCCACAAGGUCAUUGCAAAAGACCCUAUGGGUCAAGGACCUUUUGUUUAAGAGUUUUGCCUAAAUAUGGCUUUUUAAAAACCAUCGAUGGGAGUUAUGUCCCUUACAUGAUGGUAAAAUCAAUAUAGUCAUAAUGUAAAAAAGUUGCCCCUUGAAGUACUUAACAUUUUUCACUGCUUAAAUUUUCUGUAUCUAUAACCAUUCAAGAAUUAUAGGGAAAUCAAAGACAUAUGAAAAUCUAAAAUAUGACCUUGACCUUUGACCUUGACCUAAUUUUCUAAGUUAGGAAUCAGGGGACUCAAAUAAAAACAUUCCAGGGUUAUACGGUUAACGGUUUAUGAGUUAAAAAAACAUACCGACAAAUUUAUUCCGUAAAGAUAGAUAACUCCUAUAAAAUUUCAUCGAAUCGCUUCGAUCCAAAUUAGCCAAAAUUUUCUGAGGAUGUAACGAACAAUUUGUAAAAAAGAAUUUUGUCGCUAAUCUUUUUUGUUACGAAGGAGAUGCACACACAUGAUAAACAGUGAAUAGGGAGAUAACUCUUACAGAGAAAAUUGUUCGUCUUAGCAGGGUGAAAUUUAAAAGCGCAUAAACUAUACGAUACAAUAUGAGAAAUAUCUAAGCGACAUAUUGCGAAACAAACAUUUAUCGCAAGAACAAAAGUUGGCGGAAAAAAAAAAAAAUAAUAAUAAUAAUAAUAAUCAGAACAAAUACAAUAAGUCUUUCCACAGAAAAGUGGAAAGACUUAAUAAUAAUAAAUAUAAAGCAAUUGUUUUGAAAACAAUUGUUAGGCAGUCUUUCCCCUCUGAUGAAUGGAUAAUUGAUUUUUUUUUAUUGAUUGAUUUGGAAAAAAGGGGGGGGGGGGGGGUAUUUGUUUUUUUGUUUGUUUGUUUGCUUUGGUAUGGGGUCUAUAUUAUUAUGUUACCGGAGAAGUUUCAUGUUUAGUUUGGAAAGUUUUUCUUUUAUUUUAGAUACAGCGCGCGCGCAAGAUUGAGGAGACAUCACGUGACACGGGUUUAUAAUAACGAAAAGACUUAGUCUUUUUAUUUCUUUUUAGGUCGGGACGUUAAACAGACAACAUCUAUAGAGAUGGAAUGUACACAAUGUAAUUUCUUUUGUCAUUGUAGGAAAUUGACAUUUUGAUCACAGUUCACAAGCAGUGCAUGUUUUGGAUUUAAUUGAUCCGGUGUAACUUUAAAACACAUUUAUUGAUUAUUUUCUGAUAAUGUACAUUUUUCAGCACCUGUUUGUAACACAGAUUAGUAUUUCAAUCUCGGAGCGGACAUUUUAUUGUAGGUUUUUACUGAGAUUUACGGACCUAGCAAGCGAUUUUUACGGCAUUGCCAUUUCUUUUCUCUAGGAAAAGUCUUGAGAGAUAUCUGCACCAAGUUUUUUUAUAAACCUUUAGUACAUGUAUGCCCUGCUGACUGCAAAUUUUGAGGUCGAUUGUACUUGUAGUUUCAGAGAACAUGUGGAUUUUUUUUUUCAGAAGUGACGUAAGAACAAUAUUAAAUUUCAAUUUUUCUUGAAUAAUUGAGAGUUUGCUCCUUCAAUAAACUGUCAUGAAUAAACAGUCAUACAGAUUGAUUGAUUGAUUGAUUGAUUGAUUGAUUGAUUAGUUGUUGGAUGGUUGGUUGGUUGGUUGGUUAAACACGUUGGGUAGGGUCAAUUGAAACACGGAAAAAGACACAAAGAAGAUCUUGGACCCUAUAUUAAACACAUGAGACGGAAACAUGAUUGGUUGAUCAUGAUCAUGAUUGAUUGAUUGAUUGAUUGAUUGAUUGAUUGAUUAGUUGGUUGGUUGGUUGGUUGGUUGGUUGGUUAAACACGUUGGUUAGGGUCAAUUGAAACAGCGAAAAAGAAACAAAGAAGAUCUUGGACCCUAUAUUAAACACAUGAGACGGAAACAUGAUUGAUUGAUCAUGAUCAUGAUUGAUUGAUUGAUUGAUUGAUUGAUUGAUUGAUUGAUUGAUUAGUUGGUUGGUUGGUUGGUUGGUUGGUUGGUUGGUUAAACACGUUGGAUAGGGUCAAUUGAAACAGCGAAAAAGAAACAAAGAAGAUCUUGGAACCCUAUAAUAAACACAUGAGACGGAAACAUGAUUGAUUGAUUGAUCAUGAUCAUUAUUGGUUGAUUGAUCAUGAUCAUGAUUGAUUGAUUGGUUGGUUGGUUGGUUGGUUGGUUAAACACGUUGGAUAGGGCCAAUUGAAACAGCGAAAAAGAAACAAAGAAGAUCUUGGACCCUAUAUUAAACACACGAGACGAGACGGAAACAUGAUUGAUUGAUCAUGAUUGAUUGAUCAUGAUUGAUUGAUUGAUUGAUUGAUUGAUUGAUUGAUUGGUUGGUUGGUUGGUUGGUUGGUUAAACACGUUGGAAAGGGUCAAUUGAAACAGCGAAAAAGAAACAAAGGAGAUCUUGAACCCUAUAUUAAACACAUGAGACGGAAACAUGAUUGAUUGAUUGAUUAAUCAUGAUCAUGAUUGGUUGAUUGAUCAUGAUCAUGAUUUGUUGAUUGAUCAUUAUUGAUUGAUCAUGAUUGGUUGGUUGGUUGGUUGGUUGGUUGGUUGGUUGGUUUGUUGGUUGAAAUUCAAACACACAUAAAACUGUUUAAAUAGUGCCAAAACCACAUAAUUUGAUGACCUUGACCUUUGACCUUGUAACCUUCGUCAAGGUCAUUGCUCCACAAGGUCAUUGCAAAAGACCCUAUGGGUCAAGGACCUUUUGUUUAAGAGUUUUGCCUAAAUAUGGC